rnacentral:rRNA from 1 species
AACGAACGCUGGCGGCGUGCCUAACACAUGCAAGUCGUGCGAGAAAGUUCCUUCGGGAGCGAGUAAAGCGGCGCACGGGUGAGUAACACGUAGGUAACCUGCCCCCCAGUCUGGAACAACUAGAGGAACUACUAGCUAAUGCCGGAUAAGACCACGGCCCCCGUCCGGGGGCGUGCGGCCAAAGAUGGCCUCUACUUGUACGCUAUCGCUGAGGGAUGGGCCUGCGGGCCAUUAGCUUGUUGGUGAGGUAACGGCUCACCAAGGCUGUGAUGGCUAGCUGGUCUGAGAGGAUGACCAGCCACACUGGGACUGAGACACGGCCCAGACUCCUACGGGAGGCAGCAGUGGGGAAUAUUGCGCAAUGGGCGAAAGCCUGACGCAGCGACGCCGCGUGGGUGAUGAAGGGCC